rnacentral:misc_RNA from 1 species
UCCGGUUUAUCACCGGCAGUCUCCAUAGAGUUCUCGCCAUUACACGUUAGUAAUUCCAAGGAUGUCAAACCCUGGUAAGGUUCAUCGGUUAUCAUCGAAUUAAAGAACAUAAUCCACCGCUUGUGCGGCUCCCCGUCAAUUCCUUUAUGUUUUAGUCUUGCGACCGUACUCCACAGGCGGGAUACUUAACGCGUUAGCUUCGCUACUGGAGGGGUCGAUACCUCCAACAGCUAGUAUCCAUCGUUUACGGCGUGGACUAC